GGUUCCGUGGUGUAGGGGUUAACAUGCCUGCCUGUCACGCAGGAGAUCGCGGGUUCAAAUCCCGUCGGGACAG
rnacentral:tRNA from 1 species